AAUCACUGCCCUGUACCCUGCUAAGCUGGUGGAGAGAUGAGCAAGUUGGUUUUCUUUGGACUACACACCUUUUCUGGGGGAAGGGAUUACACUUUUUCAUUGUUUUCCCUAGAGAAUGAAGAAUGGUGGAGAAGGAUCUGGUCAACCUGGGAGAGACCGACACAGCCUUUAUUUCUGCUUAUGUCUGAGGACAGAAUUCUCUGAACUGUAUUUCUAACAGAAUAUUCCACAUAUCUGAAGAUCAGUCUACCUCUAUUUAGGUAUAAUAUUAUUUACUACUUAACUAAGAACUAGGAAUGUCAGUUUUCAGUAGUACUCUGG
rnacentral:lncRNA from 1 species